ACCUUCUAUCAUAUUAAGGAAAUCCUUUCUCUGGUAUUGCUAGUCUGCUAAGAAGUUUUAAUAAGUCUUUUAAUAAGAACUACUUUCAAGUCAAGUUUUAUUCUUAGUAAAUGCUGGUCUCUCUGUUUGCUUUUAUUCUUGUGCCAUAGAAUGUUAAAUACAGUGGCUAAAAGCCUGGGGAAUAUAGAGAAGCUGCUCCUUCUUACCAGACCUGGAACUUCAUUUGUUACAUCCUCAGUAUUUUGAGAUUGUUGAAAACUGUACAGACUGUCCAUGAUAUCUCAGUCAUUUCACUGUGAUUUUCUUUUGGACUUCUUCAAUUCUUGUUCUAUCACCAAAUUGAACAUAUCUAGGGGAAACACAAAAACUAAUUUCAGGUUUAUAUCAAUGUAGUUCCUUCUUUUGGCAGAUAUCUUGACUCCCUCAAAUCUUGAACAUUUGAAAAAAAAAAUCUUGAACAUUUGGUUACUGUACGGUCUCUUCAAUAGACUCUUAAAAAUCUAAUUCCUCUAAUUGUCUAGAAGUUUAUUUAUUUAUUAUUUUUUAAGAUUUUAUUUAUUUAUUCAUGAGAGAGGCAGAGAGAGAACCAGGCUCCCCAAGGGGAUCCUGAUGCAGGACUCGGUCUCAGGACCCUGGGAUCACACCCUGAGCAGAAGAGAGAAGCUCAACCACUGAGCCACCCACGUGCCCUGUCUGGAGAUUUAGAGCUAAAGCUCUUUUGCAGGCUGCCUCUUACUCAGGAAAGAUGGGAAUGGAUAGAGAGCCUGAAUAAACACACCUGGAUCCCAGAAUUCAUUCUGCAAGUGAGGAAAUAAAAGACCUGGGAUUUUCAACAACUUGCAGGAGUCACCCAUAAAGCCGUGUCUUUCAGGCUAGUGAAACAAGAUUGGAAAGGACAUAACAGAAGCAAAGUACUCCUCCCAUUCCCAUACAAAAACAGUCUGCUUAGCAAGUCAUGGGCCACCAUUUCUGGGAGCACCACAGGAGGUAUGGCGACACACAGCAUGUGCUGCUGAGCUCUGCUGGAAAGGAUCCGUGAAAGGAAGAUGGCUAAACCGAUUCUGAUCCCUCAGAAGUGGCUUAACUGAAAACAAGACCUCAGGGGCUCGGUUUCUGUUUUAAAGAGCCAAGUAGUCCUCUAAUUCAUGGGACCAUAGGAUCUUUAUGUCCCCUGUCUGAUUUUAGCUUUUAUCUGUUGGUCCUUUGCCAAUAGUCUUGUAUCUAAUUUUUGCAAGCACUGUAUGAGGAUGUCUUAGACACUUGUUUUGGCCCACCAAACAUCCAUUCCACUUUUUUUUUUUUUUUUUUUUGACAGUAGUGGCCUGACUUCCUUUUAGAAAAUUACUUUUUCCCCAUUUUAUAGUAUCCAGGUAGGCAAUAAAUUAAGACUCCUUAGCCAGGGAGGGAAUGUGAAUCAGGCCAUUCAUAGUUAAUACUGGGUAGAUAAAUCUUCAAUGGAGCUAUAAAAUGACUGAAAAUUGCAAGAAUUUACUUGCUCUCUGGAAAUUCUGGAUGAGGCUACAGUGUUCCUUCUAACUUGCCCAUUGAAUUAUUUUGUUUCCUAUGCCCCUUUGUUAAUCCCGUAAAUUAUUAAUUUCCUUUAACAAGUGUCCACUUUAGUUUACAUUAGUCAGAACUGAAAAUAAUAUCAAGGGCAUAUUAUUCUCAUUUUUAUUUUAAGAAAACAAAGCCUCAGUUAAAUCCUUAGUCCAAGGCUAGUAAUUUUUUUUUUAGAGAUUUUAUUUAUUUAUUCAUGGGAGACAGAGAGAGAGGCAGAGACACAGGCAGAGGGAGAAGCAGGCUCCAUGCAGCGAGCCCAAUGUGGGACUCGAUCCCGGGACUCCAGGAUCACAUCCCGGGCGGAAGGAGAGUGCUCAACCACUGAGCCACCCAGGUAUUCCAAGGCUAGUCAAUUAAUAUGGAAUUUGGAUUCAAACUCGUAUCUGCUGCCUUCCCUCCGACAUCCACAUGAUUUCCUUGUAUCUCAAUAAAUAAAUUACU